rnacentral:lncRNA from 1 species
CUGUAACGGCCUGGCCGGAAUUGGGCUUCAGAAUUUCGGUUUUGCCACUAAGGAUGGUGCGGAUGAUCUCUUUCUCGAGCUUGGAUUCCUCCUUUGCGAGCUGGGUUUUAGAGGAUGAUGAGGAGUCGUCGUUGUCGGAGUCGGAGUCGAAGUCGGAGGGUAAGUUGUUUAAGAGAAGGUCUUCGAGGGAUUGAGGGGGGAGGAAAGAAGGGUUGUGAAGAGAAGCAGGACGGCGGAGUUGAAGCCUACCCAUUAGGGUUUGGAGGAGGAGGUUGUCGAAGUUUGGGGUGGAGGUGGUGGAGUUGAAGGAGCUCAUGGCGAUGGUGCGAGGGUUUCGGCCUUUGGGGUGGUUUUGAUUUGGAGCUGCAGGGUUCUGGGAAUUUUUCAGGUGGGGUUUUUCGGCCUUUUGGGGGA